rnacentral:rRNA from 1 species
UACGGGAGGCAGCAGUGAGGAAUCUUGCGCAAUGGGGGCAACCCUGACGCAGCCACGCCGCGUGCUGGAAGACGGCCCUAUGGGUUGUAAACAGCUUUUGGGCGGGAAGAACCCGGGAUGUUCGCAUCCCGCUGACGGUACCGCCCGAAUAAGCACCGGCUAACUCCGUGCCAGCAGCCGCGGUAAUACGGAGGGUGCAAGCGUUGUCCGGAAUUAUUGGGUGUAAAGGGUGCGCAGGCGUCCCGGGAAGUUUUCGGUGAAAUCCUCCGGCUUAACUGGAGAAGGGCCGGAAAAACUCCCGGGAUUGAGUCCGGAAGAGGCCAGUGGAAUUGGUGGUGUAGCGGUGAAAUGCAUAGAGAUCACCAAGAACACCAGUGGCGAAGGCGGCUGGCUGGUCCGGCACUGACGCUGAGGCACGAGAGCGUGGGGAGCGAACAGGAUUAGAUACCCUGGUAGUCCACGCUGUAAACGAUGCAUGCUAGUUGUCGGCCCCCCGGGGCCGGUGACGCAGUAACGCGCUAAGCAUGC